UAUGUACUCCCUCCGUCUCAAAAUUCUUGUCUUAAAUUUAUGUAGAUAUGGAUGUAUCUAAUACUAAAAUGUGACUUGAUAUAUCCGUACUUAGACAAAUCUAAGACAAGAAUUUUGGGACAGAGAGAGUAUGUA
rfam:Triticum aestivum genome assembly, contig: Triticum_aestivum_CS42_TGACv1_scaffold_194887_3AL